rnacentral:rRNA from 1 species
CGAAGGGGGCUAGCGUUGCUCGGAAUCAUUGGGCGUAAAGGGCGCGUAGGCGGCCUUGUUAGUCAGGCGUGAAACUCCCGGGCUCAACCCGGGAACUGCGCUUGAUACGCAGGGCUUGAGGAUGGAAGAGGGCCGCGGAAUUCCCAGUGUAGAGGUGAAAUUCGUAGAUAUUGGGAAGAACACCGGUGGCGAAGGCGGCGGCCUGGUCCAUUACUGACGCUGAGGCGCGACAGCGUGGGGAGCAAACAGGAUUAGAUACCCUGGUAGUCCACGCCGUAAACGAUGUGCGCUGGAUGUUGGGCGGCCUAGCCGUUCAGUGUCGAAGCCAACGCGAUAAGCGCACCGCCUGGGGAGUACGGCCGCAGGGUUG